GAUGAAGAACGUAGCGAAAUGCGAUAAGUAAUGUGAAUUGCAGAAUUCAGUGAAUCAUCGAAUCUUUGAACGCACAUUGCGCCCGUCAGUAUUCUGGCGGGCAUGCCUGUUCGAGCGUCAUUACGCCCCUCAAGUCCCCUGUGGACUUGGUGUUGGGGAUCGGCGAGGCUGGUUUUCCAGCACAGCCGUCCCCUAAAUCUAGUGGCGGUCUCGCUGUAGCUUCCUCUGCGUAGUAGCACACCUCGCACUGGGAAACAGCGCGGCCACGCCGUUAAACCCCCAACUUCUGAACGUUUGACCUCGGAUCAGGUAGGAAUACCCGCUGAACUUAAGCAUAUCAAUAAGCGGAGGA
rnacentral:misc_RNA from 1 species